UACGUAGGGUGCAAGCGUUAAUCGGAAUUACUGGGCGUAAAGCGUGCGCAGGCGGUUGUGUAAGACAGAUGUGAGAUCCCCGGGCUCAACCUGGGAACUGCAUUUGUGACUGCACAGCUGGAGUGCGGCAGAGGGGGAUGGAAUUCCGCGUGUAGCAGUGAAAUGCGUAGAUAUGCGGAGGAACACCGAUGGCGAAGGCAAUCCCCUGGGCCUGCACUGACGCUCAUGCACGAAAGCGUGGGGAGCAAACAGG
rnacentral:rRNA from 1 species